rnacentral:rRNA from 1 species
CAGCCGCCGCGGUAAUACGAAGGGGGCUAGCGUUGUUCGGAUUUACUGGGCGUAAAGGGUGCGUAGGCGGAUUGUUAAGUCAGGGGUGAAAUCCCGAGGCUCAACCUCGGAACUGCCUUUGAUACUGGCGAUCUUGAGUCCGGGAGAGGUGAGUGGAACUGCGAGUGUAGAGGUGAAAUUCGUAGAUAUUCGCAAGAACACCGGUGGCGAAGGCGGCUCACUGGCCCGGUACUGACGCUGAGGCACGAAAGCGUGGGGAGCAAACAGGAUUAGAUACCCCGGUAGUCCCUGUCUCUUAUAC